rnacentral:rRNA from 1 species
AACGUAGGAGACGAGCGUUAUCCGGAAUUACUGGGCGUAAAGCGCGUGUAGGCGGCUUUGCAAGUCGGGCGUGAAAUCCCACGGCUCAACCGUGGAAGUGCACUCGAAACUGCAGAGCUAGAGUCCUGGAGAGGAAGGUGGAAUGCUUGGUGUAGAGGUGAAAUUCGUAGAUAUCAAGCGGAACACCGGUGGCGAAGGCGGCCUUCUGGACAGUGACUGACGCUGAGACGCGAAAGCGUGGGGAGCAAACAGG